UCUUUGACGUUAGCUGCAGAAGAAGCACCGGCUAACUCCGUGCCAGCAGCCGCGGUAAUACGGAGGGUGCGAGCGUUAAUCGGAAUUACUGGGCGUAAAGCGCAUGCAGGCGGCGUGUUAAGCCAGAUGUGAAAGCCCGGGGCUCAACCUCGGAAUCGCAUUUGGAACUGGCAGGCUAGAGUCUUGUAGAGGGGGGUAGAAUUUCAGGUGUAGCGGUGAAAUGCGUAGAGAUCUGAAGGAAUACCGGUGGCGAAGGCGGCCCCCUGGACAAAGACUGACGCUCAGAUGCGAAAGCGUGGGGAGCAAACAGGAUUAGAUACCCUGGUAGUCCACGCCGUAAACGAUGUCUACUUGGAGGUUGGAAUCUUGAAUUCUGGCUUUCGGAGCUAACGCGUUAAGUAGACCGCCUGGGGAGUACGGUCGCAAGAUUAAAACUCAAAUGAAUUGACGGGGGCCCGCACAAGCGGUGGAGCAUGUGGUUUAAUUCGAUGCAACGCGAAGAACCUUACCUACUCUUGACAUCCAGCGAAUCCUUUA
rnacentral:rRNA from 1 species